rnacentral:rRNA from 1 species
GAUGAACGCUGGCGGCGUGCCUAAUACAUGCAAGUCGAGCGAACGGACGAGAAGCUUGCUUCUCUGAUGUUAGCGGCGGACGGGUGAGUAACACGUGGAUAACCUACCUAUAAGACUGGGAUAACUUCGGGAAACCGUAGCUAAUACCGGAUAAUAUUUUGAACCGCAUGGUUCAAAAGUGAAAGACGGUCUUGCUGUCACUUAUAGAUGGAUCCGCGCUGCAUUAGCUAGUUGGUAAGGUAACGGCUUACCAAGGCAACGAUGCAUAGCCGACCUGAGAGGGUGAUCGGCCACACUGGAACGGAACCACGGUCCAGACUCCUACGGGAGGCAGCAGUAGGGAAUCUUCCGCAAUGGGCGAAAGCCUGACGGAGCAACGCCGCGUGAGUGAUGAAGGUCUUCGGAUCGUAAAACUCUGUUAUUAGGGAAGAACAUAUGUGUAAGUAACUGUGCACAUCUUGACGGUACCUAAUCAGAAAGCCACGGCUAACUACGUG